UGACACGUGAAAGGGGUUAACCAUGCCUGGACUGAGUGCCACCAUAUCCACCACCAUAACCACCGGGAGUCUGAGAAGCAUCAGAUCUCCAGCCACCACUGGAGUAACCUGAAUUUCCAUUAGUGUCACCAUAGCCACCCCCCAUGUACCCACCACUCAUGCCAUGUUGCUCUCCACUUUGACCGGUACCAACAUUGCUAUUUGGAGUGCUUGCAGCUCGUCCACCGGAGGCUCCAUAGCCACCGUAAGUACCAUCGUUUCCACCAUAGUAACCCUGAUUCCCAUACCCAGAAGCCCCACUAGGCGAUUGGCCCCUAGGGGCAGAAGGAGGUCCACCAGUACCUGAGGCACUCCAAGGAGCUGCAGCCCCAAAGCCUGGACUGGCACCAUAGCCAGGACCACCAUAUCCUGGAGCUUGGUUGGUCCAAG
rnacentral:misc_RNA from 1 species